UUUGACUGUUUAUAUUUCCUGCUAUACAUAUUUCACAUACUAUUUUCUUAUAAAUUCUAAUUUGUUACCUUCUGAAUUUAACUAGAAGUUUUAGAAUAUUUUAACUUUCCUUUUCUACCUUCUUUUCUUGUUCAGAUACUUGAGAUCUAGACUUUUAGUUACAUCUUAUCUACCACCUAUUGAAUUUUUUAUGUUAAUCAUAAUUUUAUUUAUUUAAAUAAAUUUGCCAAGUACUGUGCUCAUCCUUGCAUCAAGCAUCUUAUUUCUUCUUUCUGGGUUUCCUAUUAUAGUCAUUUUUGAAUAAGCAUCUUCGGUUAAGAUCAACUAGGUAAAAUAUUGUAGACUGACAGGUAUUUCUCCUUUUGCUUUGACACCACCAUCUAUUGCUACUGACUGGGAAUCUCUUGUCAGUAUAUUUGCUGUUAUUCCAUGGAAAAAUCUGCUUUAUGAUUUUCCCCUACAAAUAGACAUAUUUUUAUUUUAUCUUAUUAAUAUUUAGCAUUUUAACUAUCCCUUUUUGGUCUUGUUUGCUAUCAUUUUUCAAUCUAAAUGUCUCUUCAAUUCUAGAAUAGUUUCCACCAUUAUCUUUUAAAAUAAUAAAUCUCAUAUUUCUUCUUUCUCUAUUUCACAGCCUCUAGGUGCCCUAACUUAUGUUUUAUUUCCUGUCUCUAUAUCUAACUGACAGUUUUCUUCCAAGGGUAUUCCCCGUGAUUCCUGGUUUAUGGCUGUCUCUCCAAGAGGAUGUCGUCUUUGCUGUUGAAAAGGCUUGUCAGAUGGUCCCAAACAGGAAACAGGAAGCUCUACCACCCAAACUUCAGAAGAAAUGAAUCACAUGAAUGGAAAGUUUGCAUAAAGCACUUGAGCUGUGGGGGCUGGCCCCGUGGCCGAGUGGUUAAGUUCGCGCGCUCCGCUGCAGGCGGCCCAGUGUUUCGUCGGUUCGAAUCCUGGGCGCGGACAUGGCACUGCUCGUCAGACCACGCUGAGGCAGCGUCCCACAUGCCACAACUAGAGGAACCCACAACGAAGAAUACACAACUAUGUACCCGGGGGGCUUUGGGGAGUAAAAGGAUUCUCUUAAGUGAUAUCACUUUUACAGUUGUUUGUCAUGUCAUUUACAGUCAUGUGGGGUUAGCAUAGAAGUUGCGAGUUGAACUAGCAGCUUUUGUUUUUAUGGAAAAUAAUAUUUACUUAAAAGAAUGACUGAGACAAAGUACAGCUUUGCUUAUUUCUAGGCAUCUUCUCAACAAUGAACAAAGUAAGCCUGCCACUUCAAAGAAAACAAUAGUAUGUUUUGAUCUAGAAUAUAAUGUGCUCAGAGCAGUACUUCCCCCUCCUCAGUUCUGCUCAGGAUGAAAGAAUUUAAGUAUUUUGUCCCAAUUUGUACUGCCAGCACAUAUUUGUGUGAAUUGUAGUCUCUAUUAUUUUUCGCUAAAAUUCCCAAUAUCGGAAGAGAAAAUUGACAUACUAUUGCUCUUGUAAUUUCUAGAAUUACACGUGUGAGCAUGCAAGUAUCAGAAAUAAGAAUGAUGAAACAAAUUAGAUAGCAUUUUUAUCCUAGAAAAUACAAAUAUCUGGGCCCCACACUCAGAGAUUCUGAAUUAGUCAUGGUGAGUUGUUUUCUUUUUUUCAUUAAAUACCCUAGGUAAUUGUAAUGUUAGUCAAGAUUGGCCUACAUUGUGGUUUCCCUGUCGAGUAAUUAUGCUAUUUAAGGUAACAAUAAUAAAAUCUUCGUUAAAUUUCAUUGCAUCUACAAGUAUCUCAGAUCCCUGUACACUACACAGGUUUUUCCUUAAUUCAUCAUUGAAAGAAUUUAAUGUCCUUGCAAAUGUAUCUUUUAUGCAGUGAUCAGUUAAUUAUUACUUCCAUGAUCUGAAGCCCUUUGAAGACAGCUAAUUUCCCAAUUUCCCAAGAAGUAUGGUUGCUAGACUGCUUCCAAAGGAUGACUGGAUGUGAUUAAAAAUGUGCAAUUGCAAGCCACUAGUCUCAGUUACAUAACUUAUCAACCUAUGCAUCUUUACUGCACACUGUAAAUUGCAGCCAAACACUCCACUUCGAUUGAUUGGAAUAUCUAAGAGUUAUAAUCGCCUUAGCAAAAGCAAAUUUGUGGCUUAGCAGAGAAUCUUCAUUCUUUAAGCAAAGAUGCUAACCAAAUUAUCUCUCUCCUGACAAAAAAGAAAUCAAAUGAAAUAUUUCAAGUUUGAUUAGCUAUUUAACUUUUUGAAAUGCAUAGAUAAUAUUUAUAUUCUACACAAAGCUAACAUUAAAUGCUUAUAGCUCUAAUGGCAUAGGAUAUACAUAAUGUAUAUUCAUGAAUUAGUCGCACAAUACUUAAAUGCAUCAAUAAGUAACAGUUUUGCAUUCUAUAACAUACAAACAUUCAUUUACUGAUAGUUUGUUGAUCCAUUUGCAAUUCUUCUACUGUUUAUUUAGACCUAAUUUCCAUAUUCUUCCUGAUAUGUAAACACGCUACCCUAUUAAUUUAACUUCAGAAUUCCAGUUCACUAGACAGCUUAAUGCCCUUGUUACACAAUUGCUCUUGUUCUUUGUACUAAAACUGCAAUUUUAUGAAUUCUUGUAGUAAGUAUGAAUAUAGAUUUACUAAUGAAGUAAAGCUAUUAAUAUGUGAAUGCAUUCAACUCCUGAGAGUGCAUACUUAAUGGAACAUACAGUCAACUAAUAUACUAGAAAAACUUUGAGGAUGAGAUUAACUAUCUGUGUGCAAUUUAAGCUUUUACUUGGGAAAUACACAUUUCUAUCAAAUUAGCUGAACCUACUCUUUUAAAAAAGGUAUACAAAUUUAAAUGAAAAAAACUAGGAAUUCUAGGAGAUACAGAUUUUAACCAUACUAAAAAGAAAGUGAGGCACUUCUGGCAUUACAAUUUAUCUUAGUUUGCAAAACUGAAAAUUUGAGACAGUUGUUUACUGAAUAUAGAGAAUAUGUGACAGAAUCCAUGGGUGUGUAUCAUAGUAGUGGUUAAAUAGCAGGCAUGAAAAACGACUAUCCAAGCUGGUGACUGCAUAAAUUUGUUGAGUGUCUCCCAAAAGAGAAAUUUAACUUAAGAAUCACAGAUGCAAGUUAAACAAGUUCAUAGUUCUUCUUAAGGAAUUAUUUAUAAUAAUUUUUAGUCAUAUAUCAAUUUACCUUCUUGGAGUAAAACUGUCACCCAGAUUUUGUUUAUCUAUUUGUAAGUCCAUGAGAGCACAAUGUCCACCUUAACUUGUACAUACCUUUGUAAACUAGGAUAUAUUUAUUUCCUGUAGUAUUAAAAUGUAAAAUAUAAUUAAAUAAUGCUUAAAAUAUUUGACCGUGUGUAUGUAAUAUCAGUUGAGGAAAGCGAGUUCCUCAGAAGAAAAUAACUUACCCAAUUCUGUGAUGAGUAAGUCAGGACAGGAAUACAUCUACUUCUAAAGUCCUUGGCUGUUACAGGACACACUAUGACAAAUCAACUAAGGGAAAAUCUUUUGGAGUAGUGAAGAGAUUGUACUGUGCUUUUAGCUCUACCAUAGAUUAUAGGAAUCUAUUAUGCUUUGGAUUUUUUCCCCAUAUUUAGUGUCAAGUGGUUAGACAAGUUUACCAAAAUAUUUUGCAUAUAGAAUCUAUUCUAGACUACAAAAAUACAUGUUCAAUAAAUAUGUUAUUUCUUGUCCUUUCAAACUCUCUAAUGGUUCCUAAGCAACUGUUUCACUUGGUAACUAAGAUUUCCAUUUAAAUACACCUUAAUAAGUGUAUAAGUUGCAUUACUGAUAUUUUUAUUUAAGGCAUUGUAUACAAGAUGUCAGAUGAGCCACCAAGCAAUUUAAAGUUAAAAAAAAUAAUUUUGAUCAGUUGCUGUGUUUUCUAAUCUAAUAGCUCUUUUUGAAUUAUUGACAAGGAAAUCCUCUCUCACCAUUCCUCUUCAACAAUGUACUAGAAACCAUAGCUAUUACAAUAAGACAAGUUAAAAGAAUGAGGGGUGUACAGCUUGGAAAAGGGAGAAAUAAAACUGCGCUUAUUCAUAGAUGUCAUGAUUAUUUAUGUAGAAAAUGCUAAAGAAGCUACAAAAAAUUUCUAGUAUAAUAAGUGAAUAUAGCAAAAUCACAGGAUAUAACAUUAAUAUACAAAAUUCAAUUGUUUUUCUACUUCCCAACAAUGAACAAUUGGAAUUUAAAAUAUAAAAUAACUACCAGUUAAAUUAAUACUAUAAGGCAAAAGACGUGGAAUAGGGGCCGGCCCCAUGGCCCAGUGGUUAAGUUCACAGACUGUGCUUCGGUGGCCCAGGGUUUCGCCAGUUCGGAUCCUGGAUGUGGACAUGGCACCGCUCAUCUAAGCAAUGCUGAGGCGGCAUCCCACAUGCCACAACUAGAAGGACCCACAGCUGAAAAUACACAACCAUGUACUGGGGGGCUUUGGGGAGAAAAAGGGAAAAUUUUAAAAAUUAAAAAAAAUAAAAUAACCAAAACAAUACUGAAGCAGAUGAACAAAGUUGGAGAAGCCACAAUACUCUCUCAAUAAUUUCUAAAAAGUUUAGUAAUAAAGACACUGUGGUACUGGCAAAAUAAUGGACACAUAGAACAAUGCAAGAUAAUGGAGAGCCAAGAAAACAAACCUGCACAAAUAUAGCCAAAUGAUUUUUUAUAAAGGCAGAGGUAUUACCGAAACCAAAGUGGGUUCACCUCCCUGUGAGUCAAAUAAAACUCUCCACCAGAAGUAGUUGUCUCACAAAGUAAAGUAUAUUUGCAGAAAAUAGGAAACCAUGUGGAAUCAUUCCCAAAGUCAUGGCUUCCCCAAACAAAGGGAAGCCGGUACUUUUCAUUUCGGAUGGGGAAUUAAUAUUCAAAAGGGAGAGGUGGGUAUUUGUUUGCACAGACUUGGCUGGAAAACAUGCUUCCUCAUACACUGCAGGUUAUGGAAAUAAGGCCUAAACUCCUCCAGGGGAGAUCUUAUCCUUAAAAGUAGGCAAAGGUCAUAGGCUUAGCUCUUGUGGUGAGACUUGGUCUGGCUCAGGGAGGUUGGUGAUUGCAUCUCCGUAACAUAACAAGAGAGAAAAGAAUACAAUUCGGAAAAACAGUUAAAUGCUUCCAAACCCACCCUUGAUUUCCUCAGGGCAAUUAGUCGGUGACAGAGGGACAAAUCAAUAGAGAAAGGACAGUCAUCUCAACAAAUGGUGCUGGAACAAUUGUAAGUCAACAUGCAAAAAAAAAAAGAACUUAAAUACAGACCUUACACUUCUCAAAAAAGUUAAUUUAAAAUGCAUGAGUGACUUAAAUGUAAAAGGCCAAACUAUAAAAUGUCUAGAGGGAAACGCUACAUUAUCUUGGUGAUGAGGGUUUAGAUACAACACCAAAAGCAUGAUACAUGAAAAAAAAUUGAUAAAUUGCACUAUAUUAGAAUUAACAUUUAUGCUCUAUAAAAGAGAUAGUUAAGAGAAUGAAAAGACAAG
ensembl:lncRNA